rnacentral:sRNA from 1 species
GGGUGUUGGGAGACAGUAACCUACAACCUAUUUCCAAACAGGGUAGAGCCAGGGAACAUCUUUGUCUCCUCUGGGCAGUCCAGAAGGACUUCCUGGAGAAGCUGACCUUUGGGCAUCUUCACAAUCAGAGCACUUUUGUAAGACAUCAUUUUAGUGCCCAGAAGCAGUUUUCUCAUGUUUAGAGAAAUAGCACUUGGGGAUGAGAAGGUACCAGGUACCAUUCCCUACACCCCAUUCUCACCAUGAUCCACCUUGGAGGGGAACCUGCUAGCCAUGUGGUUGGAGUGGUUGACACAUGGUACGCACUGUGUAAGGGUUUUCUAUUAUCAUUGCUAUCACUGUCUGGCCAAGAAAGCAGAGCUGUGUCCCUGAGCCAGGGAUCAUGGACUCCCAAAGACAAAAGGAAAUACCCUUUGUCCUCACUAGAAAUUCACCCUAGAGCCUCCAGGGAAUGAGCCCCAUGCUCAAACCAGCUCCAACCUGCCCCUGCACUGUGUUCCCAGGUGAUGAAAUGCAUCGUUGAGGUCAUCUCCGACACACUUUCCAAGCCCAGCCCCAUGCCUGUCAGCCAGGAAUGUUUUGAGACACUCCGAGGAGAUGAACGGAUCCUUUCCAUUCUGAGACAUCAGAAUUUACU